rnacentral:rRNA from 1 species
ACGCUGGCGGCAGGCUUAACACAUGCAAGUCGAACGGUAACAGGGAUUAGCUUGCUAAUUUGCUGACGAGUGGCGGACGGGUGAGUAAUGCUUGGGAAUCUGGCUUAUGGAGGGGGAUAACUACGGGAAACUGUAGCUAAUACCGCGUAAAAUCUUCGGAUUAAAGGGUGGGACUUUCGAGCCACCUGCCAUAAGAUGAGCCCAAGUGGGAUUAGGUAGUUGGUUAGGUAAAGGCUGACCAAGCCGACGAUCUCUAGCUGGUCUGAGAGGAUGACCAGCCACACUGGAACUGAGACACGGUCCAGACUCCUACGGGAGGCAGCAGUGGGGAAUAUUGCACAAUGGGGGGAACCCUGAUGCAGCCAUGCCGCGUGAAUGAAGAAGGCCUUCGGGUUGUAAAGUUCUUUCGGUGACGAGGAAGGUUGAUAGGUUAAUAGCCUAUCAAAUUGACGUUAAUCACAGAAGAAGCACCGGCUAACUCCGUGCCAGCAGCCGCGGUAAUACGGGGGGUGCGAGCGUUGAUCGGAAUAACUGGGCGUAAAGGGCACGCAGGCGGUGACUUAAGUGAGAUGUGAAAGCCCCGAGCUUAACUUGGGAAUUGCAUUUCAUACUGGGUCGCUAGAGUACUUUAUGGAGGGGUAGAAUUCCACGUGUAGCGGUGAAAUGCGUAGAGAUGUGGAGGAAUACCGAAGGCGAAGGCAGCCCCUUGGGAAUGUACUGACGCUCAUGUGCGAAAGCGUGGGGAGCAAACAGGAUUAGAUACCCUGGUAGUCCACGCUGUAAACGAUGUCGAUUUGGGGAUUGGGCUUUGAGCUUGGUGCCCGUAGCUAACGUGAUAAAUCGACCGCCUGGGGAGUACGGCCGCAAGGUUAAAACUCAAAUGAAUUGACGGGGGCCCGCAC